UAAUAUAUUUAUUAAUUACAGAUAUGUUGGACACCUCGAAUAUUUAAAUGAUUAAAUACUACUUUCCCAAAAUGAUUCGACCAACCAUUUGAAAUGUCAGUGUAAUCGUAGAAUGAAAUACUAUUCCAUGAUAUCUGAACUUGUAAUUCGUAAAACCUGCAUAUUCGUACCGACUAGAUGACAUUGACCAUAAAGUGAAAGUAAUCCAUGUGAAAGAAAUACGUACCUUGUAUAGGCAUGUAUCUGAAAUAAUGCAGGUUGCACAGAAUUCUUUAUCAACACUGGAGUGCUAUUUACGAGAUAACAUAAUGAUAGAAAAAUGGGUGAUACGAACAUUAGAAAUAAAAAUCUGCAUCACGUUUCAAGUAAAUGGCGAUAGUGAAAUAAUUUAGCAACAGCAGUUUUCUCUUGUAAUCAAAUAUUUAUUCGUUUCACGAAUUCUUUAUUUUGUCAGGAAAAUUGUAUAACUUUCUAUACGCUUGGAACGUAUAGAAUGAAUUAGUGACCGAGAUUUUGUAAGAAAACUUGUUGCGAAAUAAGGUUUGGAAUAUCAUUUUCAUAGCGCAGUCUCGACAGAAACGAUCAUUGUUAUUACAGAAUAAUUUUUGUCGAAUCAGUUUAAAAUAGGCUUGUUAAAAAAGAUGUUAGUAAUACAUAGCUCAGGAGAAAUUAGAAUCAACAGUGAGGCAAACGUAACAAUAAGACGAGUAAUUUGAAAAUGUAAGUCUUUGUUCCCACUUAUCGUUAAUUUAUACUUGGAGCAGCUUACUGUUUCAAUUGCAGCAGCUGUGCGAUAAACCUUUGUAUCUGUGACAUCGCGUUGUCGUUUCGUUUCGAGUACCAACAAAAAUACAUUUAUCAUUUGUUGAAUUCUACAAUUUUGCUUUUCAGUUCAAUAAUAAUACAAACAUCGGUCGUUACUUGCAGAAUCUUGUAUUAAAAUGUGAAAGCUUGAAAGUCGACAGAAGCGAAGAAAGUAGUCAUUCGUUUUACCUUUAUUUAGACAUUCGUUAGCACAUUGACUCUAAUGAACGUUACCGAUGAUUAACACAAUACGUAAUUAAAAGAACACAAUUUUGAACGGUACUAAUAUUACCAUAGCACAAGGAGAAAAAGUAAACGACCGUAUGCUAAUAACACGUUGUACGACCAAUAUGUUAAAUGCGCUUCGAUACUUUUUUAAAUUAAUUAUUCACAAUGAACAAAUAAUGCAAUUUGUGUCAACCAUUAAAAAAUAUACAACGAUGUUCAACAACCAUUCGGUUACUAAUUAUAAACAAUAGAAUAAUUAUAUUGUCCAGUUACGUUGGCGUUACGAAACAUUGGUUCGAUUAAAUACAGGGUAGAAUGAAAAAUCACUGUGACGAGUCGGCGAAAUGAAUGGAA